GGUCAAACAGUGUAUUUUUGGAGCGGCAACCUCUGGAAUUCUCAAAGUCCUCAUCGUCCCAUAGAUCUGCUGGGGCUUGGCUGGGAGCCCUGUUCCCUGAAAUACCGCAGAACUGGCUUCUGAGGAGAGGCGACGUGAGCUGCUGAGCUCCAGGUUGCUGCUGUUUCCCUCCCUCAGGAUGACGCGUUCCUGCAUGUGUUGGAUGGCACCUGGCUCGGAUCGUGCCGUGGUGUGGCACUCUGGGACACCUAGGAAGGUUUGCUGUGUGAUGGAGUCCAUGCUGUCUCCAUCCUCCCUUCGGUCUCCGAAUGCCUGGCUUAUCGAGGUGGCCUCUUGUCUCAUGCUCAUGGAAGAGAACAGGAAGGUGGCUGUGGUUGUGCUGCAUGUGAGAAAGUGAGGACAUGCUCAGGAAGCAUGCAACAAGGACGAGCCAGAGAACUUAGUCUGAUGAAGCAAGUUUUCAUCUAAAUCUACUUGUCUGGUGAUAAGUCCCAUUUCAGGUGACGUAAUUUGGCCUUAGUAGGCUUCUCAUUUCAUGAACACUCUGUAAAUGCCGGUGAUUUAAUGGAAUGCAUUCUAACUUGUUUCCUAAAUUUUCACCAAUCAAAACUGUGUACUGAUUUGGGAGCUGGGAGUGGCUGUCUCAUUGUAAGUAGUGGCAUUAGAGAUGCCCUGUUCGCUGAGGCCCAUUCCUUCAGCUGAAGUUUAUAGAAUGUCAAAAGUUACAAUAUUUACUGCUUUUCAGCACAGGCAGCACACUUACAGAUGACCUUAUUAUGGGAAGAAGCUGCAUACAGACAGGCUUCUGCUACCCGUGGCAGAAAAAAGGUUUGAUCUGAGCAGGACCUCUCCAGACCCCUUCACCCUCACUUGGGAGGAAAAAUCGAACAGUGAGGAGAACAUGCUCAGAGGAGUUGGAUUACAGCUUACACGUGUAUUCGAACCCAAAGUUACACAAUUUCACGAAGAACUGUGUGCAGAAAUGGUUUCUGAUUUUGCUUACAAUGGCCGAGAGUUUGUAAGAGAUUUGGAGGGACAUAACAUUUAUUUCCUACUUCCCUGAGCUUCAGUCCAGGCCUUGGAAAAACCCAUCUGACAGUGAGUUUGUUUGUAUAUUUCAAAUUUUUUCCUAAGUAUGCUAGGCUCAUUAGCAAGCCUUGGAAAAUGCAUACUUUGUUGAAGUUAAUAUGGAAAACAAGAUACUGAGGGCUCAAAUCUGUCUCCAGAAUAUAAAUAAGCAUACCUUCCUUUGGAGCAGGUUUUGACUGGAGUCAUACUGGAACCCUUGUUUCUGGGAGAGUUACGAAUGUGCUUUGCUAGGAAAUGCUGUUCCUUAAAGAGCUCGUGAGGCCUACAGGGUCUACAUGAAUUCUGAUCCUGCAUGUGCAUGGCACUAGGUGGCCUGAACAAGACCUCACUUGUGUUGGCAGGAGAUGCUAAUGGCAGGUACUUUGCCAUGGAAGACCCUGGGAUGCUUGGCUGCAACACGUCAUGAGGACAUGGCAGUGACAGCUCAAUGCUGACCAGACUUCUUCAACCAAUAUGCAACACGUUUAAAUGGCAGAGGAGCCCAACCAAAAGGUGUUGCUCAAAAUGGUGCUUCGAAGGCUUAACCAGUGAAAUAACUCUUGACAUUGCAUGAAGCGGUCAUAUUUACCUCUGCCUCUCCAUUUCUAUGAUAAUUUUUGAAUUCAAAGAUUGGAUCUGAGAAUUUCGUAUGAAUUAAAUGUCUGUGUGAGCUCUGCUUCCCCACUUGGCACAAGGUGGUUGUUUCCUCCUGGAUCAGAAUUCAUACUUUCCAUUAAGCCAAAGUAAUUUCUGUUCACCACUGUCACACUAAGUUGGGUCCUUUGGUGAUCCCCUCAUUCCAAAAGUCCAGUUGUUAAGUAAGCUUUGAUUAAAGGGGUCUCUUUUUUAAGCCAAGCUUAUGGCAAUGUUAGCGAAUGCUAAGAGAGCAGAACUGCAAGGUACUGAAGGACGUGGGGUGUCUCAAAUUGCUGCUAGAGAAAAAUGCAUUCUGAGGCAAUGUGUAAAGAUUUUCAUUUGAAACUUGCUCUGGUAUUCAAGUCCCCCCAAGCAAUGAUGUACUUGGCUCUUCAGCUACUAACUAGAGGAGUACGUGCAUGGCUCUGAGCAUGGCACCAGGAGGCACCUUCCUGCUCUGAUUGCUGAAGUACUUCAGGCUGCAGUACCAUGUGGCAAACUGCAAAGUCCUUUUCACCAUCCACUGCUCUGGCUGCAAGUAUUCUUUAUUAUAUUAUGCCUGUGAUAGAGGAAACAUUUUCAUCUUUACAGCGUGAUUAGUUUUGUAGGGUUCAACAGCUUUCCACGUUGCUCUUUAUCUGGAAUCACAUUGUGCAGCAUCAUUUAGUUGUGGUGAAGAUAACAACAUUAUAUGCUGUGAAGGGACAGCUAGAUGAAUGCUACCCCCCUCAGGUAAACUGUUUUUGUGCAUGUGCAAUUGUAAAUGGUGGAAAAGAAUGCCUUUCUGUAUUGUCUGUAGCUCUAUUUUUUGCAGCAAAACUGCAUUUAGCUCACCACAACUAAGUGCACAGUUAGUAGAAGGAAUGCUCUGCCUAAGUAUCUGUUCAAAACCCUCUGUGUAUUUGAUUAAACCUUUCAGUAGCCAGCAAAGCUCCUGAUGAAUGCAUGUGCAGCAAAACAUUUGGACUCAUAUGCAGUGCUGCAGCUUAAGUUGGUUAAUCCUAAACCAACAACUCCAGUAAUAAGCAAAUUUCUGAGCUAACUGUCGGAUCAGACUUCAGCUAUCUAUUGCUGGUGUGCACUGAAGAUCAGUGCUUUUCUCAGGCACUGGUGUUUUGAUUUUCAUCUACCUGCAUGAGAUGAUGCUUUUUUUUUUUAUUUUAAUUGGGGAAUUUGCAUUCAGGAAAAUUACACAACUCUCCAAAAAGGAACAGGUGUUCAUAGCUGUUGGAAGAGGUCUAUGUCUUCCAUCACAGACCUGGCUUCUUCCUCAACUCAUUUGCUCCAGGAGGGUUUUAAAACUGUUUUUUGUAAGAGGAAAUGUACUGUCUUGUACUGAACAGAGGCAGAACUAAUUUAUUCUAACUUGGUUUUCAUCUGAAGAUGUUUUCUUGGGAAUUGUAGCUACAGAAUCAGGUAACAUGAAGGGAUGGACUGGGACCUCUCCUUUACAACUAAUUAUUGCUGUUUCUUCUACGAAAGUCAUGGAAAAAGUCCCUCCCAUAAUUACCUUAUAAUGAAUGUCUCAUUCCUUUGCAGAAACCAGUGUGCAGUAAUUAUUUCUUAAAAGUUCUGAUUGCUUCUCUGACCCCUAGAUAAGUAUCAUCAGGAUCACUAGCAGCCAUGGAAGGCAGCUCUGUCUGCACAGAAGUGGAACGUGCUUGGUUCCAUGAGCACAUGCUGCUGGAACGUGUCAAGCUUUUGGUCUACCAGAACCCCCACGUCCUUGUCCACAGGGCUGCUCUCCAGGAGAUCUUCUCUCAGUCUGUACACACAUCUGGGAUUGCUCUGACCCAAGUGCAACAGCUUGCACUUGGCCUGUUGAACCUUGUAGGUUCACGUGGGCUCACUUUUCAAGCAUUUCCAGGUCCCUCUGGAUGGGACCUUCCUCUGCUGCACCUCUGCAACACUCAACUUGGUGUUGUCUACACAUAGCCUGAACAAGAUCAGAUGAGGUGAGCAUUUCAGAGCACAGCCAGUCCCACUGUGUCAGGACCACCUGGGGGAACAGCACUGACACCCCUUCACUCCUUGUGUCAUCGGGGUCUUCGGAAGACUUCUCCCAGGAAAGCCUUUAAGUGAAUUUCCUGCUGCUGCUCAUUAAUGUUUUGCUAGUUUUAAUUUCUUCCUUGUCUUGUAUCACUAAUCAAGAAGUAAUUGAAUUAGCUGAAAAGAAGGAUAAGACAAAUUGGCUGAGAAGAAUUAACUGUGUGCACCCGAGGUCAGCAGGCUCCUAGAAAAUUCAAGGUGAGAAUUAGUUGGACUAUAACUGAGAUUCAGCGGGAAGUUACUAAGUUCUCUGGAGAAUCAAGAUGCAGAAAUGCAAAUGACAGUCUAACCAUGAAAACCUAGCUAUAUCUGAAAGUAUUUGGGCAAUUCCUUUCUAUUUCAAGACAGGAGAGCAAAGGACAGCACUUACAUUCUUUCCAACUGCUUUGUUUAAUGAAGGGAAUUUCCCUGAAGUUUGACUUUUCAUCCUUGUGUGAAUCGGCUUUGCCAGGAAGAUAUUUCUCCUUCUGUAUUGAUAUUAAGGCAGUAAAUUGUCUGUCCCUGCUUUCACUUGCUCGACUUUUUUUUUUUUUUCAUGGUUGCUCUGUAAUUUAAGUUCAUCUUUCAUGAAAACCAUAUGUUGGAUUAAAGGCAGGGUAUUAUUUUCAUGCAUUGUAAUAUACUCUGUUAGCUCCUCCAUUACAGUGCCAUGUUAAAGUAAUUAUUAUUCCACGUGUCACUGUGAAUGCGUUUAAGAUUCUUUAGGUCUUCUCUAGCAGGAGCUGAUUUCCACUCCUGAUUAACUGCUCUCAUUCUUUUUAUACGUCGGAAUUAGCUAAGCAUAAGCUUAUAAUUAUUUUACAGGAAGACUUUUAGAAAUAUGAAAAAGUCAUGCUAAAAUAAUUAGAAAACGAAUUAGAUUGCAAUUCAUGAAAACCGUAAGCUAAUGACAGUAAUUAACUUAAUACUUGACAAAACCUAAAUAAGCAUAACUAAGUAAUGAUAUAAAGAAAGGAAGUUUCAGUCUUGAACAGAAAUGCCUUAAAACAGUUGAAAGAAGCAGUUUAUACUAUUGCAUUUGUUUGAUCAUUGUAUUUGCUCUUUUGGAGAAAGGCUGAAACUAGUUGGCUUCUACAAGUUUAUGAGCUUGUUUUUCUGUAGCAGGACUAAACUGACUGUACUGAAGGCAUAGAAAGAGGCCCCAUUCGAUAACCUUAUCACUGAUACUCUCCUUUCACCAAACCUCAGCUGUAGCCGUAUUAAAUAGAAGCACAGAAAAUGGUGUAGUAACCUCACCAUCUGCUCUGCAGCUUAGUUUGUGUUCUGCAGUUGGAGCUGAAAAUACGUUGCUUCAAAUUGUGAGUUAAGUCGCUGAAAUGAGAUGGGACCCCUGCAGCCUAAUCCAUAGGAACCAGCCAACUCUUUUGAGUUUCCCGUGUUUGAUUAGUUGUAAUGUAAUUAAAGAAAUUACCAAUAGUCCGCUGUCUGGAUGUGAUUAACUCACCAAGUGCUCGUACCUAUAUUCUUUGAGCAUCUCCAAAUAAUUUAGGGCCUCAUUUAUGUUCCUUAACAAGGAAAUAAAUGAAAAUCGUCUACAGCCUUAAUACAGUGGCUUGUGCUACAAGCUGUUCUAUCUUGUGCCUUGGUGAUGCCUGCUCAAUUGUUUCUGAUUAUGCUGCAUUAUAAUUAAAGAACCAGAAAUGCUAUUUGCCUAAAUGAGAACAUGCUGCCCAGUACAGGAGGGAGGGAAGGAAAUCAGAUAAAGAUGAGAGCCUUCUAAGCAAAUCAAACCCAGAAUGUCUGAUGAUGCUGCACAUAGACGUGGAGCUGUGGAUGGGACUGCUUUAGCUGCUGGUAAAUUUCUUCUGGGCUCUUCAGAAUUGGAGUUUUUGAUGAUAGUGACUUUUGUUCUUAAAAUAAAUGCAGGUCAGGUUGUUUUUGAAGAGCAGCAAAAGGGUGCAUUCAUGCUUGCUGCUGCUGUCCCACUGCCCUUGAGCUCUGUUGCUCCCUGAGCUUCGUGCUUUCUUUCUAACCAUGCGUACUGGAAGGUUGGGAAAAAUCCAAGCAUGCACGUCCCAUGAGCUGGGCAGCACCUGGGGACAGCACAGGGAUGCAGCUGCAGAUCUGCUUGGUCCCUGCCGAGUGCUGGCUUUCAGCACAGCCUGCUGCCUGCCGGGACAACCUGACAGCAACAGCACAUUGUGUGAGAAGUAACCUGAUUUUCUCCAGGAUGGGGCAGAGCAGGGCUCAUGGAAAUGAAGAAGGGCUGAUGGGAUGUUUUUGUUUUGUCUGUCAGAUGUGUUCUGAUGAUAUUCCUGUGUGUUUUCACAGUAAGUGAAUGUGUAGCUUGCACCCUGAGCUGCCCUGCACAUCUUUGAGGUGAUGUGGUUCCACGCUGACCCAACACUCCUACAGUCUAUCAUGUAGCUUCUUCUACCCACAGAGUGAGGAGAACAGGGAGUUAACCUUCUGUAAUGUGAACAUUAAUGCAAAUCAUAGAAUGGCCUGGGUUGAAAAGGACCACAAUGCUCAUCCGGUUCCAAUCCUCAUCUGCUGAGUGCAGGGUAACCAACCAGCAGACCAGGCUGCCCAGGGCCACAUCCAGCCUGGCCUUGAAUGCCUGCAGGGAUGGGGCAUCCACAGCCUCCUUGGCAACCUGUUCCAGUGCCUCACCACCCUCUGUGUGAAAAUGACUUAAAACAAGCAGCACUGUGUGACAGGUGUCACGAGGAGAGAUGAGAUGCCACAUUCAGUAGGUUCUUGAGGCACUCUGCACUACUUUGGGUGAGACCACAAAGUGCUUGUUACCAGUUCUAGAAAUGGUAUUGGAAAUAGAUGAGUGCUUAUAGAUUUGGAUUAUGUUUGUUGUUAGCUACUAAAAUAGCUAUUAAAAUAGUUGCUGAGAUAUUUGGUGGGGCUUUUACUUGGCAGAGCAUUUGUAUUUGAUCUCACUGUUAUAUGCAUUACACUUCUGUAAUACAUAAACAGAGCUUUUCAAUGCACAGAGCCUAUUCUAUCCCACUGAAAGACUAAUUGAUAAGAAAAUCACCCAUCUGUGGAGAGCAGCAUUUUCUUGGGACCUGAUAGAUCACACUGUGCACAUUUCCUUAGCUCCUCCACGAACAUUUGCUGUUAUACACUUCAGUUGCUUGCACCAGAAUUUGUGUUAUUCUGGCAUAUGACAUGUAGUAAGGGGCUUUUACAGUAAAUAAAAUGUAUGGCUUCAUUUGCUGCAGUGUGCAAAUGAAAGCUCUGUGACGUGUCAUACGGGAACAGCUGCUUACUCAGCAUCUGGCGUUGGCUGCUGAUUGUCCUCCAGCUGUAGAAACAAAAGAUUAGCAAAUAAGUAAAUCUGUGUGGGAAGUCUGACUGCCUUGUGCAAGGCACUACCUUCUGUAUCUCGCCGUGGCAUUACAGUCACUGCAGGUUUGAUAGACACAUCACUGGACUUGGAGUAGAACCUAAGGCUCAGCAGGGUUGGUGGCCUGUCCUCACACCAAAUGGGGGAUGAAACUGGAAGCUGAAGAACCCCUAUCUGCAAAGUGCAUUUCCAUCAUCUUGUUUUCUCUAAUUUGUCUGUUUUGGUUGCAAAUUCUCAGGAGGCAGAAGCUGUCUCAUCCCGUGGGUUACUCAGUGCUCAGUACAGCAUGUCUUCAUCAUGGCUGGUAUUUCUAAGAAUUACAGCUUUUCCAAACAAAUAUGCAUCACGGGGAAAUAAUAACGCUCAUCCUUCGUGAAUGUCCUAUCCAGCAUUGCAGGGAUUAGGUGGAAAUAGAGGAUAAAACUACUUUUCUGGUUCUAAAAAUAAUUUUUCUGGGUCAUGUGGAAAAUCAUUGUGGAGGUUAUUUGUGGGAGUUCAAAUGUUCAGUUGUUCUACUUUCCUUUUUCUAGGAAUUACUGCAUGGCAGCGUGUCAGCCUCCAAAAUUCUCAAAAAGCCCAUGAAAAGAGCUGCUGUAUUUCCUUUGGAAAAACAGGAUGGCAGUGUAAGAAAAAAAAAAAUUAAAAGUGUUAGAAUGUGUUACAGCUUUACUUUAUUGGGGAUUUGGAAAUGUCAGAGAGUUUCGGAUGUACUGAUGGGUGUCACCAUUCAAACUGGACACGGAAUUCAUUUGAGGAUGGAGUUUGUUGUCCUCAACGCCUUGUGACCUGCUGUGAGGACAGGGGUGCUGCCCAGCAGUGGAAACGUGUCAGUGGAAAAUCACGAGGUUUUCUUUGAGGAACAAUGACAUUUUUCAAAGGUUAGCAGCGUGCAGUAAAGAAAGUCAAUGAGAUGACAGCUUGGACAAUCCUCAAAGCCAAGGCAGAGCCACUGGUGUGCCUGGCCUGGGAUGCACAGCCGUGAGCGAGGCUUUGUGACAGCAGUAACCUGUAAAGCUUGAGCAGAGGAGGUGGCUUUCCUGAAAGCUCCUGGCAGAGCCAGGCUGCUGAAACAGCAGGACUGCUGACCAGCAGUUCCUGCUCUCUUUACUGUUUGCCAAAACGUAAUUUAUUAUUAUUUUUUUUUACAGCCAGUGACUGAAAAUAGGAAAAAAUAGAAGAGCGCGAUGCGGUGCUGGCACAGCGCAUAGCAAGUCGUUUCCUGAUAUUAAAACAGUUGUCAAGCCACAGGUCGUAAGCACUGCCAUUUGCAAUUCUUUCUGUUGAAUCAAAGGAAGUCAGAUCUGAUUAUACAGCAGAUAGGUUACUUCUAAGUAGAAGCAGACUUUUAAAGGCUACUUUGCUCUUUUUUGGCACUGGAUGUUUAAUUAUAAUUAAAAAAAAAAACCAACAAAUCAAGAGAGGAGUUUCUGUCUCUUUGCCCUCUUUAAUGUUUUCCAGCACAGAAUGCCUCUUAAAUAGUUGCAUCAUUAACAUUUCUCCUCCUCCUCUGCUGUGGCACCGGCUGAGAAGAUGCUGAAGCACAGGUGCUUGUCACCUGCCUGAGGGCGGGCGCACAGCCAGGAACUGAAGCACAGCAAUCUGAGCAGCUGUAAGCCGAUCUCUUCAGCCUGAGUUCAUUUACUUGGCUCCAAUUUGUAGUCUGCCUUAAUACACGUUUAGCAGUGAAUCUGGCAAAACUGAAAACUGUUUGCGCUAUAAAAUACAACUUUCUAGCAUGGUAUCAAAACCUGAUGAUAAAUUUGACACGCUGGGAGGCAGAGGUUUGGGUCAGAAGAAAGAUGACUUAGAACUAAGUCAAGCUAAAUGCUGAAGGGAACUUGGCAUAGUAAAACUGCCAUAGGCAGGGGAAAAUUAUGACUUUACUGAAGAAGAGAAAAAAAGCUUUACUACUGGCUUCUGACCUUAUUGGCUUCUCAAAUGUAUACAAGGGAAUGGAGAAUAAUUACCAAACAAUUUGUAGUGAGAAUUGGCUGCUCCAUGUCGUGCUAGAUGCACGUGCUGCCUUCGCUGCAGCAUCCUCUGCCAGCGCUUCCCUCUCUGUGCG